AAAUAAGAAGCAAAUCAUUGUAAUUAGUUUCGACCUAAUUUAAGAUAUUAAAAAUAUCCUUAUUUU
rnacentral:tRNA from 1 species